rnacentral:rRNA from 1 species
AUUGAACGCUGGCGGCAGGCCUAACACAUGCAAGUCGAACGAGUGGCGGACGGGUGAGUAAUGUCUGGGAAACUGCCUGAUGGAGGGGGAUCACUACUGGAAACGUUAGCUAAUACCGCAUACCAUUGGAUGUGCCCAUAUGGGAUUAGCUAGUCGGUGGGGUAAAGGCUCACCUAGGCGACGAUCCCUAGCUGGUCUGAGAGGAUGACCAGCAACACGGGAACUGAGACACGGUCCAGACUCCUACGGUAGGCAGCAGUGGGGAAAAUUGCACAAUGGGCGCAAGCCUGAUGCAGCCAUGCCGCGUGUAUGAAGAAGGCCUUCGGGUUGUAAAGUACUUUAAGCGGGGAGGCGUUACCCGCAGAAGAAGCACCGGCUAACUCCGUGUCAGCAGCCGCGGUAAUAC